GACUGAGUAGCUCAGCUGGUAGAGCAUCGGCCUGAAGAGCCGUUGGUCAGUGGUUCGAAUCCACUCUUAGUCA
rnacentral:tRNA from 1 species